rnacentral:rRNA from 1 species
UACGUAGGUGGCGAGCGUUAUCCGGAAUUAUUGGGCGUAAAGAGCGCGCAGGUGGUUGAUUAAGUCUGAUGUGAAAGCCCACGGCUUAACCGUGGAGGGUCAUUGGAAACUGGUCAACUUGAGUGCAGAAGAGGGAAGUGGAAUUCCAUGUGUAGCGGUGAAAUGCGUAGAGAUAUGGAGGAACACCAGUGGCGAAGGCGGCUUCCUGGUCUGUAACUGACACUGAGGCGCGAAAGCGUGGGGAGCAAACAGGAUUAGAUACCCCGUA